rnacentral:sRNA from 1 species
GCGUGGCUCAAACCACUGCCGCUAAGAACAAAUGUUGGCUUUGGCUUCGUUGCAAAGCAGCCGCUCAGUGGCCGUACGACGCUUCAUCUCUCCGAGCCUCGGCUUCCUCAUCUCCAGCCCUAAAAUGACGACACGGCCCACAGGUCUUGUGAGGAUUAAGUGAGGGGACGUGAUGUGGUCAUCGGUGUCCUGCUCGUGGUCAUUGGUGAGGAGCCCAGCCUGCAGUCAGGCCUUCUGCCUCGGCACCUGCGGCCGGCAGAAAGGCCCCACGUGUUCCCUGGGCCAUGCUGCAUUGCUGCAUGCAGCUUCGCAACCACAUGCU